rnacentral:rRNA from 1 species
UGGGGAAUCUUGGACAAUGGGGGCAACCCUGAUCCAGCCAUGCCGCGUGAGUGAUGAAGGCCUUAGGGUCGUAAAGCUCUUUCGCCUGUGAAGAUAAUGACGGUAGCAGGUAAAGAAACCCCGGCUAACUCCGUGCCAGCAGCCGCGGUAAUACGGAGGGGACAAGCGUUAUUCGGAUUUAUUGGGCGUAAAGGGCGCGUAGGCGGCUUGAUAAGUCAAAGGUGAAAUCCCUCGGCUCAACCGGGGAACUGCCUUUGAAACUGUCUGGCUAGAGUUCGGGAGAGGGUAGGGGAAUUCCUAGUGUAGCGGUGAAAUUCGUAGAUAUUUGGAGGAACACCAGUGGCGAAGGCGGCUCACUGGCUCGAUACUGACGCUGAGGUGCGAAAGUGUGGGGAGCAAACAGGAUUAGAUACCCUGGUAGUCCACACCGUAAACGAUGAAUGCCAGUCGUCGGGUAGCAUGCUAUUCGGUGACACACCUAACGGAUUAAGCAUUCCGCCUGGGGAGUACGGUCGC